UUAUCUGUUGUAUCGUUGGUUUUUUUAGAAUUCUGCUGUGAUUAAUUUAAAAAUAUAAAUAUUGUUGCAUUUGUUUUGCAUUUAAAUGGAUAUUUAAAUGCCAUUCUUUAUGGUCUUUUCUUUUCGUGUCACUUAAAGGAAGUCAAUGGACACUAUGCUGUGUGUUUGCGAUCAUUUCUCAAAAUAUCUUCUUUUGUGUUCAUCAGAAAUUCAUAUACAGGUUUAAAACAACAUGAGGAUGAGUAAAUGAUGACAGAAUUUUCAUUUUUGGGUGAACUAUCGCUUUAAAUGUCAACUGUCAGAAAUCCCUUUGAAUAAAUAGUCUAUAAAAGGUUAAUUUGGCUUCAUAGUGUUCAGUGCACGCCAUCCAUAUGUCAAUUACAAAUCGGCAACCUUACUUACCACCGGUCACAAGAAGAAAUGCCAGACCUCUAAUAAAAAAUAAUAACACACCUACGCCCUGCAUGAAAUCUGUUGCGACAAAGCGCGCCAAAGUACAGAUGCGGGAAGCACGUGCAGCGCGCAAUUGAACGGCGGCGCACAAUUGACUAACAGUUACUCACCGUCCAUUCGCUAUACACUUAACAUAAAGCCGGCUGUAAACAGAUUACUGUAAACAAGUCUCCAACAGGUCCGAUACCGCCACAGUCAAGCAGAAUCGGAUGUUGUUUAUUAUUGUGUGCGACGCCCAAUGCUUGGUACAAUGUGACCGACUUCAUUUGUUUUCGACAGUCGUACGGUUUGAAUUGCAUGGACAAACGGUGCUUUCAUAGUUCACCACAGCGGGAGCAAACAGCGCAGUACUUUUAUCACAAUUAUCCCCGCGGACAGACGCCCGAUUGGUCUAUAGAUGUCUUGCGCAAUUACCUGAUCCACGUGGGCUUUCCACAAACUCCCCCAGAGCUGUGUCAAAUCGCCCCCUAUACCCUCAUUCACUUCUCUACAUUACUUCAUCAAUAGUCCACUAAGAGUGAAUGAAAACGGGUGAGUAAACUGGACACUGAAUGCGCCGGAGGGCGCCAUCUUCGUUGGCACGAGCCUCACCCUGCAUCUCAUUCAGGUAUGUGAACAUUACAGAAGGACAUUUAGGAGCCACUGAAUCACCUAAAAUCUUCUUUAUUGUAGUUCGUCUGGUCCAGAGGUGUGAAUGAUCUGUGUCCCAGCAAGACAAUGCAUCGCUCCAUGUUUCAGUCCUGCACACACCAUGGUACUGUACCAGCGGUCUGUUGUUUAGGAAUGGACAGACGGGGAACAUGUCUGAUCGAAGUUGAACAGAAGAACAUUUUCCUGGAAGGCAUUUUGUGAAACUUUUGUGAAAAUCACAAUAAAUGCUGACGAGCAACUUUCCAAAAAAAGCUGGUGGGGAAUGAGUUAAGUUGUGUUUUGGCAUCUCAGCACAGAAGAGGAUUCUGGAAGUUUGUCUGCCUUUGACAAAGAAGCAGUGUUUAUGUCCUUCAUAAUGUGACCAAAACAACUCAUCAGCCAAAGCGUCAUUCAUCUCAGAUCAGGUGACUGAGCGAAGCUUCAUCAGUUAUGAUCUCUGCGAUGAGGAACCAGAGAUUGUCAUCCAAACGCACAUACUGUAUGCUCGUUUAAUCCAUAUGUUUUCCUGGAACACAGAGAGAACUGAAUAAAAAUAAUAUAAUAAUUAAAUAU